GUAGCACAUUUAAAGUCUAAACAGAAGUUGCAAUCUUCACACUCAAAAUAGCUGAACUUGGUUUCAUAGCAAGCACUGCAAUGACAGCUAUAGCUUCUUUUGCUGAGUACUAGGCGAAGAAGGUGGUCAUGCCCAUGGUGCUUAAGAGUUGAUAUAAUAGCAUAACAUCUAAUAUCAAGGUAGAAAUCACAUUUCUCACAAUGGUAGCAAAAUCCAUGGCAAUAUUGCUCACAAGCAUUACAUUUGAACAACCCAUCAAAGCUAUAUGCUUUUAAGAGAAGAGUAAGCGAGUGCCGGUGAAGUGGGUGUUUUAUCUUAGUAGACAAUUCAGAGCAUCCUUGUGCAGAAACAUGUCACAUUGUAGACAACCAUAGGUUAUUGAAGCAGACGACAAUGGUAACAUACACCCAACACAACGUUUCUUGUUGUUAACCUGAUCAAUAAUGGCCAACCCAUGUUCAUGACUAAACUGUUUGUUCUCUGUAACUAGUUGUUCGUCUGCAUCAUCAUCACUAGUUGAUUUUAUAGAUAAAUCUCCAAGCGUAUCAGUACCAAGUUUGUGAGUUUCAUCUUCAACCCCAAUUAAAUGUGUGCUUGCGCAAUCGACAUGAACAACAUAAUCGCAGAGAGAACAAUAAUAACCACCAUGGUCUAAGUUCAUUUCAAUUUGACAAAUUCCACAAGAUUGAUCUGUGGAUUCACUAUUCUGAAGGAAAUAGAAGUGGGUCACAUGUCUAUGCUCUGUUAUUCUAAUAGCUUUAGGUCGUGAAAUGCAUUCUUUAUGAACCAUAAUUUGACACAUAAUACAGAUAUAAGGAGAUCGAGUCCCUUCGUUCCCACAAGCAUCACAAGUGAAAUUAAUUGACUUCAACAAGUGAAAGAAUUGAUGCUCGUAAUUACCUGUAGGUGUACCAGAAACACAUGGCUUCAAGGCACAAUCGAUGUCGAGAUCGAAUUGGCAUAGAGAACAAUUGUAGACCAUGUUGUUUAAAGAUCUACUGCACAGAUCACAAAAGCCUCGUCCUGAAGAAUAUGGCUGGACCAUUAAGAGAGUGAGAGGGUGUUUCCUGUGCAAGGGAUGGUUGAUCUCUCGAGGUAGCUCUGCACAGGCUUUAUGGAGGAAGAAGCUGCAUUUGAAACAAUUGUAACUAGGACCUGAUAUUAGCUGCUUGCACCCACAACAAACAUUGUUGUUUUCGUCAUUUAUUUCUUCUUCAUUAUAGAUCAAAUUAUGAAUAUGGCUGAAAUGUUCAAGCUCCAUAUCCUCCUCUGUAAAACUCUCUCUCUCCUUUUCCUUGUUCUUCCCAGAUCUCCUCUCCAUUUUCUUUCCUUCCCCUUUUUCCUUUUUUUAUUUCUUUUCUCCAUCCUGACACGCAGACUGUCUAGUAAUAACUUCAUUUAUUAUUAUUAUUAUUAUUAUUAUUAUUAUCCAAAAAUCUUAUACCAACCAUAACUUUCACACCAGAAGUUCAAUUACGCAGUAAUUCUUGCAUCCCAUUUUAUUUUAUUAUUAUUAUUUUUUAAUGUUCUAAAAAUAUUUACAAGAUUUCUAAAUAUAUAUAUAUAUAUAAAUAAUUAUUUUUCUUAUAAUAAUCUUUAAAAUUCAUCGUUAAAUGAAGAAAUUUUACUACUAUCUUAGUGAAUUAAGUAUGAAAAAGGACAAAAUAACUUUUAUUAAUUAAAUUCUUAAUAUACUUUGUUUUGUCAAACUAUAAAAAAAAAUAGAAUGAAGGGAAUAUUUGACAAAAUUGAAUAAUAUUUUAUUUAUUUUCUAUUGAAUUGGGCUGUUUUGAUUUUAGUAUUUUUAAAAUAUAGUGUGGACUAAAUUAAUUAAUGCACAACCUCUCAAUAAUAUUUGAGUUGUUUUUGGAAUGAUAAAUUUUAAAUUCAAAUCACGGUCAGAAGUGAAUUUAAAUUUUAAAACAAGUUAAUAAUAAAGUUAACAAACAAUUCAAAAGGUCACAGUUCGUUUUUAAUAUAUAUAUAUACCAAAUUUAUUAUUAGUGAGAGUACAUACAACCGACAAUUUAAAAGAGCCAAACGCAUAUUUGGACCUAGUAUUAAAUAUAUGCAUUUGGCCAAUUUAAAAGUUCUGCUUGUGUAUUAAAUAUAUGCACAUACAUGACCUGAAACCAAUAAACAAAAAUGUUGAACAAAGUGAAGUGAUAGAUUCCCUGAGUUAUGGGUUUAUUUUCACUCAUUAUCCCUUAAUUAUAUUUUAUAUUUUUAAUUAUCCCUAUAUUUCAAUUUAUUAUUUAAAAUACCUAAAUUACUAUUUAAAUAACAUAAAAGUUUUUUCACCAGUUAUGCGGUAAACAGCCGGUAAUUUUGCUGACAUGUACAUGUUUUUUAACAAAAAAAUUUCAUAUAUGAUUUUUUAAUAAUUUUUUUCUCUCCCACCUUGUAAUUUUCUCUCUCCUCUGUUCCCUCUUUCUCUCUCUUGUUUGCCGCUCACUCCAUUCCUCUUCUCCAUUGUACGAUCACAGCUCCUCCCCACAGCACCGCAAUCCCAUUUUUAUUAUUUCAUGGUCAAGAAGCAACACCAAGCCACCAAACACCAACCAAACCCUUCUCUCUCUCUCUCUCUCUCUCUCUCUCUCUCUCUCUCUCUCUAUCUUGUUUCUGAUCCAAACAUCUUUUCCUCCAUUAAUGGUGUCUUAUAGAGCAUUCAAUCCUGAAAAUGUACACUUCAUUUCUCUCUCUAAAAAAAUAUAAAAAUUCAAUACCACUCUCCUUCUUGAUCUUCAUGUUUGUAUAGAUCUUGUAGUUCUCUUUAUAUAUUUGAAAUCAAAUUAAGCUCUCAUGUCAAAUUCCAGUGCAAUUUUUGCAUAAUUUAUUAAUCUUUUUCUUACAACUUACAAUCUUUAAAGCUCUCAAAUGAAAUCUUCUCCAUCAGACGGAUGACCAUGGUGCUUGGGAGGAUUUCCCUUUUUUUUGUAAUUUUUAAAUUUUUUUAAUUUAUUGGGUUAGUUUUUCAAAUUAAAGAUAACUAUUAUAAAAAAAAUUAUACCGUGGAUUUUCACUUCAUAUAAUUGUGGUUUAUGCUUCCAUUUUGCCUUUGUUAUUUCUUUUGUGACCUUUAGCUUCUUACUAUGUAAUUUUUAUCUAAUAUUUUUUCUCCCUUCGGUAUCACUUUUUUUAUGUAUGGAGAAAGCUUUUUUAAAGUAGGUUUUCCUAAGGUUUUAUUUUCCUUUUUUUCAUAAAUAAUUUACUACUUGUUUUGGAGUUGUGCUAAUGUUAUCUAAUCUAUUUUUAGUUUCAUAGCUUUAAAAAAUCUGAAAAGAACAGAGAUGAACUAGAGCAAGGAGAGAAGAUGAGCUCAGAUUGGAGAUCAGCGUUUUACUUUUUCUGGCAAGAGAGAGAGAGAUGGGUAGAGGAGAGAUGGGAGAGAAAAAUAAAAUUAAAAUGGAGAUAACAUUAUUAAAAAAAAAUAUGAUGUGGCAUUUUGAAAGUAAUUAUUUGCUGACUAAGUAAUUUCAUGUCAGCAUUUCACCUGCAGUUGACUGGAAAACUGGUAAGAAGACUUAUGAGUUAUUUCAAUAAAAGUUCAUGUAUUUUUAAAUUACGAAUUGAAGUAUAAAGACAAUUAAGAAAUGAGAAGUAUAUUUGAGGGACGAUGGGUGAAAAUAAGCCUUGAGUUAUGUGUUUAAUAUCUAGGGUAAAAUACAGUUUGUACUUAAUUAUAUUCUAAUUAAUAUUUUUUGUCCAUUUAUUUUCGAGAACUUAUCAUGAUGUUUCUAAGUUUUGUUUAAAUUCUUUAUUGGCUCCUUCCCUCUAAAAAAUCAGCACCGUAAAGUUAGUUAAGUAUUUUUUUGGAUGGAAUAUGUUUAUUUUUUAGAUGAAAAAUUCUAUAUUAACGACUUAAAAGUAAUUUUUCAAAAUAGAGUGAGGAAAGUGUGAAUUAGAAUAUAAUUUAGGAAUCCAAAUAUAUUUUACUCUUAUAUUUAUAUUAUGUUAUUUAGAUAAUAUAAAAUAAUAUAAGAUAUUAGGUAGUAUUAAUUUAAGUCUGCAAAGAGAUUUUUCUUUUUCUUUUUUUUUUUUGAAUAAGAAUGAUGAUUAUAUAUUAAGAGGAUCAAAAAACAAAACAUUCUGAAUAAUUGCUGGAGGGACAGGACCCCACUCCAUCAAACCAAACAAAGAAUUAGCCCUUGACAACAAAUGGGCACAAGGGUUCACUGAUUUUUUUAGCAAAUAGCAAAGCUAUAGCACUGAACUCUUUAAGAAGAGUUCUACACUCAUUAAGCAAAAUACCAAAACAGGAACAAUCAGAAACUAAAGUGCAUAAAGCUUGGAUGACCACCAGACAGUCACUCUCAACUUCCAAACUUUCCAACAAACCUUUAUUCUUUAACCAGCUUAAGGCCUCACGGAAACUCAACAACUCAGCCAUAGUUGCAUUCAUGACACCUUCCAUAACCAUGCUGCCACCUCCCUUUCAUCGACCUUGUCAUCCUACAACAGCCACCUAAACCUACUCUAUGCGGUACAACAUCCUAUGCUGUAUCGAAAUUAAGUUUACAUAGGCCCACUUUCGAAGCACACCACUUCACAGGAAAUGCCAACUGACCUUGAAAGCCUCCAUGGUGCUAACUUGUCUGCGCCAUUUGCCAUUCAUCCAUGAUAUGCCUAGCUCUUCUUAUAAUGAUCGAGGAUGGAACCUGUUUUUGAGCCCAUACCAUCUGAUUUUGAUUCCACCACAACUCCCAUGCUAAAGUAAAUGCUAGGCCCCAUUUGUCCUUAGACACAUUAAUGAGAAUCGACUCCAACCACCCAGAUACAGAAGUAACUCUCGUUCACCACCCCAGGUUAGAUUGGCUCCAUGUGGCUUGAGCUAUUGGACAUAAUCAGACAACAUUAAGUGUCGUCUCCUCAUCCACCCCACACAAAGGGCAUGUAGUGUUCAUGUCUACAUGGAGAGCUUUCAAAUAUACCAGGACAGGCAGACAUCCUGACACCACCCUCCAAACAAAAUUUCUGAUCUUUCCAGCUAUACCACAGCUCCACACAGCCUUCCAAAGCCGUUCAUGAAUAGGAGAAUGAUAAUUUUUCUCCCUAUAUAGAAUCUGAUAAUCGCUUCGAAUAGAAUAGCUACCUUUCGUUCCCCACCACCAAAACUAGGACUAUUCAAAAUCCAUAGCACUCAACAGAAUUUGUCUAAUAAUAUUACACUCAUGAGGAGAGAACAACAUUGACAGAGCUUCAUUGUCCCAUAUCCAUCGCCCAUGGCUAAACAGGUUCGAAACCAUCAUGUCUUCUAUACUUGUGUUGUUCGAUGAUUGCACAUAGGGAGCAGUUAUAUUGAUUCUUUAAACAUUCUGUGGAUACAGUGAAUGGCAUUGAUUCUUUGAGACAUGAUAUAACACUAACUUGAAGAAAAUUACAAGUAUAAUUCAUGAGGACCCUCCGAUGAUUGUUGAUUUGGAUUCCAUUAAAGACGACAGUGUUUAUGUCGGUUGCAAUUACUUUGGUUUCAAUUUUGUGGUCAAGGAGGAAGCACUUGACGUGUGAUGAUCACGAGUAUCCGACACCGUUUUGGUACCAGAUCUUUUUUCUUUUUUUUGCCCCUUUCGUCCUCAAUAAGUCACUGUAAUGUCUUAUGUUACAGUUCCCUCUCUGGACACAGCCGUAAUAUGUAAUUUAACGUGGCUGUCUUUGUUUGUUUCUUGCUUUUUUUUGGGAAAUAUAAUUGGAAUAUAUGUUGCUUAUAAGCUACAUCUCAUUUAUCAGAUAUUAAAUAAACAAAAAAAUUUUACUCUUGGGUACAAGACCAAGAAUUGUUAUAAGAAGACUUUCAGUAACUUCAUAAAUAACAAAGUCUGUUCUCCCGUUACUGUUGCACGUUUUGGGUAAAACAAGGACCUUUCCGGUGGAUGAUGAAAUUACACUGACUGCACUGCAGAGCCAAGUCCUCGUCAAAAGGCUCAGCGCAGUGAUCACAUGGCGGGUAGAACUUUCUCUUCUUGACCAAGAUAAAAGGUUUCUGGACUAAAGUGAGACCAUGUGAAUGGAUUCCACUAAGUGAAUAAGCACUACUUCUGUCAAACUUGAUAUAUGGGUACCUUCCAAGAACACAUUCAGGGUGAAUAGAAAUGUCACAUUCUUCACACCCAUAAAACCAGGGUGCAUAGUUGAAGACAUAAGUCCCAGGGUCUAUUCUCAUCUCGCAUACCUCACAGUAAUGGUCAAACGACCUGUCGCUAACAAAAUCAUAUGUAAGCUUAAGAGGAUGCUUCUCAUCAAAUCUGUGUCUAACUGAGAUUGGUAGAGUAGCACAUUUAAAGUCUAAACAGAAGUUGCAAUCUUCACACUCAAAAUAGCUGAACUUGGUUUCAUAGCAAGCACUGCAAUGACAGCUAUAUGUCACGGGCAUAGAGUCUCGCGCAGCACUGCGCUUGUGCGGCGCCCCGAGAGCCCUCCCGCUUGGCUCCGAGGCAAGCCUUGCCAUAUCGUACCGAACUGGUUUUGCCCUGCCAUGGGCUCAUCAGGAGAGCGGCCCAGCUCUCGACCAGUUGUGCCCGAGCGGAACACUACCCCGCCUGCAUGCAGACUUUGCAUGGGGUAAUGGACCACUGGGGCAGAACGCCUUAAUCCGCUAAGCCGCCCCAACCCACGCAGGUUGAAACGCAGCUAGGUACGCUCUUCACAUGCGGCCUUACACGGUUACGGAAUUUGUCCGUAACAUAUAGCUUCUUUUGCUGAGUACUAGGCGAAGAAGGUGGUCAUGCCCAUGGUGCUUAAGAGUUGAUAUAAUAGCAUAACAUCUAAUAUCAAGGUAGAAAUCACAUUUCUCACAAUGGUAGCAAAAUCCAUGGCAAUAUUGCUCACAAGCAUUACAUUUGAACAACCCAUCAAAGCUAUAUGCUUUUAAGAGAAGAGUAAGCGAGUGCCGGUG
rnacentral:lncRNA from 1 species